rnacentral:rRNA from 1 species
AUUAGAGUUUGAUCCAUGGCUCAGAACGAACGCUGGCGGCAGGCCUCAUACAUGCAAGUCGAACGAUAAGCCACCUUCGGGUGGUGGAAAGUGGCGCACGGGUGAGUAACGCGUGGGAAUCUGCCUCUUGGUACGGGAUAACUCAGGGAAACUUGUGCUAAUACCGUAUAGUCCCUUCGGGGUAAAGAUUUAUCGCCAAGAGAUGAGCCCGCGUCGGAUUAGCUUGUUGGUGGGGUAAUGGCCUACCAAGGCAACGAUCCGUAGCUGGUCUGAGAGGAUGAUCAGCCACACUGGGACUGAGACACGGCCCAGACUCCUACGGGAGGCAGCAGUAGGGAAUAUUGGACAAUGGGGGCAACCCUGAUCCAGCCAUGCCGCGUGAGUGAUGACGGCCCUAGGGUUGUAAAGCUCUUUCGUCAGGGAAGAUAAUGAC